CUUGGAGCUGUAUGUAACUUUGUUUUAUGGUUCCCUCCUUGGCGUCUCAGUAGGUUUUGAUCAAACCAAGUAUCAAAGUGCAGGGAAGUGUCCAUCUGGGGAGGAGCACUUGCGGUUCACUCUUGGGAGGCUUUCUGGGAGACACCAGAUGAUGGCAGAUUCCUUGGAUCCUCGAUGGUGGCUAUGACAUUCAGGGAGUUCUCAGGCCCCUGCACUCUCAACUCCCCUCUCCGGAUCUGGGGGAAGCAGGCUGCAGAACCCCAGAGCUGAGGCACAGGUUGCACUGGGGUGGUGAGGAGCAGUCCCCAUUGGUCAUCUCCCAGACAGGUACACUUUCAUCAUUUUCAAAGGAAGACCUGAAUAGCAAUGAACUCAUUGGUCAAGAGCAGUGGAGUUUUGGCAUGGAAUACCCUGUACCCUGGACCCACCACGAUGGAGUAAUGUGGAGACUCAAGGCUGAUUCUUAGCCAGGCCAGUGGCUUCAGAAAGGGCCAGGAGCCUGCAGUUACACAGCUCCAUCUUUCUGCCCCUCCCUCCACCCCCUGCCUUUUAUUUCUUAUUUGUUACAGCCUUUCAUGAGGAACAACAGUCAGUAACACAAACAUUAUAUUCAUCUCUGCUCAUUCUCCCCUCCAGGGACCAAACAAGUUUUUUUUUCUGGGCAUUGAAAAUACGUCUCACCCCAGCUUUUAAAUAGGCUCAAUGUUAGACAGAAAAGCACACAUUCUGUAGAAUGAUGGAGGAAGGGUAAUUAUGUAUUAAUAAAGACAAAAAAAAAAGAGAAAAAGGAAAAGAAAUUGUUCUUUGCAUCACCCGAUGGCUUUGGCAGA
rnacentral:lncRNA from 1 species